UGUGUAGGCGGUUGUUUAAGUUUGGUGUGAAAUCUCCCGGCUCAACUGGGAGGGUGCGCCGAAUACUGAAUGACUUGGAGUGCGGGAGAGGAAAGUGGAAUUCCUGGUGUAGCGGUGAAAUGCGUAGAUAUCAGGAGGAACACCGGUGGUGUAGACGGCUUUCUGGACCGUAACUGACGCUGAGACACGAAAGCGUGGGUAGCAAACAGGAUUAGAUACCCUGGUAGUCCACGCCCUAAACGAUGCAUAUUUGGUGUGGGUCAUUCAGUUGAUCCGUGCCGGAGCUAACGCGUUAAAUAUGCCGCCUGGGGAGUACAGUCGCAAGGCUAGAA
rnacentral:rRNA from 1 species